CCUACGGGAGGCAGCAGUGGGGAAUCUUAGACAAUGGGCGAAAGCCUGAUCUAGCCAUGCCGCGUGAGUGAUGAAGGCCCUAGGGUCGUAAAGCUCUUUCGCCAGGGAUGAUAAUGACAGUACCUGGUAAAGAAACCCCGGCUAACUCCGUGCCAGCAGCCGCGGUAAU
rnacentral:rRNA from 1 species